rfam:Arthrobacter chlorophenolicus A6 plasmid pACHL01, complete sequence.
GGGAGGUUACCUAAGUGGCCAAAGGGGGCGGACUGUAAAUUCGCUGGCUCAGCCUACGUCGGUUCGAAUCCGACACCUCCCA